AGGAGAACUGCAGAAUACUGGUCCUAUAUUGGGGAGUGGAGAAUCCAAGGCUUUUAAGGGGUAGGAUUAGGAUCCAGGCCAAUAUGCAAGAAGUCAUUGGGCCCAGAAGCUAAUAGAAGAUAUGGUUCUUGCCCUUGGAAAGAAGCUGACUGGUUUGGGGAAGAAGAUUUGCAUGUGUGAAACCACAACAAAGUGUCUAGGAAUGAAGACAAAUUUGUGCUAAGUGGUGUGGAGUUGACCACAAGCCACAAGGGGGUCUAUGUAGGAGGGUACAGGAGAGGGACAGGCCCACCAGGGAGUAUCCCAGAGGAAGUGGGAAUAGAGCUGGAUUCUGAAGGAUUUGGAAGGAGAAGAAAGAAGCAAAGUCUUUUAAGGGUAAAGAAGGACAUGAACAAAGUGGGUGGUGGUGACAAUAUCUCUGCAGAGACUGAGGGAUGGAAAACAGACCGGUUCUUCUUCAGACAAUGGAAAAACUCUCUGCUGAGAAAUACUUGUUGGCAAAAACCUUUCAAAGUCCCCAUUCUUGGAUCUGACUCGGCUUCACCAUUUCUCUAACCACCAGCCAAAUCUAGGCGCUCUUUUCCUCGUUUCCGGAUUCUUUUUUAAAAUUAAAAAUUUAAAUUUAUUAAUU
rnacentral:lncRNA from 1 species